rnacentral:rRNA from 1 species
AUUGAACGCUGGCGGCAGGCCUAACACAUGCAAGUCGAACGAGUGGCGGACGGGUGAGUAAUGUCUCGGAAACUGCCUGAUGGAGGGGGAUAACCAAGGGAAACGGUACAUAAAACCGCAUACGCUCAGAUGUGCCCAGAUGGGAGUAGCUUGUUGGUGGGGUAAAGGCUCACCAAGGCGCCGAUACCUCGCGGGUCUGAGAGGAUGACCAGCCAACCUGGAACUGAGACACGGUCCAGACUCCUACGGGAGGCAGCAGUGGGGAAUAUUGCACAAUGGGGGAAAGCCUGAUGCAGCCAUGCCGCGUGUAUGAAGAAGGCCUUCGGGUUGUAAAGUACUUUCAGCGGGGAGGCGUUACCCGCAGAAGAAGCACCGGCUAACUCCGUGCCAGCAGCCGCGGUAAUUC